rnacentral:rRNA from 1 species
AUUGAACGCUGGCGGCAGGCCUAACACAUGCAAGUCGAACGAAUGGCGGACGGGUGAGUAAUGUAUGGGAAACUGCCUGAUGGAGGGGGAUAACUACUGUAAACGGUAGCUAAUACCGCAAACCAUCAGAUGUGCCCAGAUGGGAUUCGCUAGUGGGUGGGGUAACGGCUAACCAAGGCGAAGCUCCCUAGCUGGUCUGAGAGGAGGAACAGCCAAACUGGGACUGAGACACGGUCCAGACUCCUACGGGAGGCAGAAGUGGGGAAUAUUGCACAAUGGGCGCAAGCCUGAUGCAGCCAUGCCGCGUGAAUGAAGAAGGCCUUCGGGUUGUAAAGUACUUUCAUCGGGGAGGCGUUACCCGAAGAAAAAGCACCGGCUAACUCCGUGCCAGCAGCCGCGGUAAUAC